AGCCACCAUGACAGCGCCGCCUCCAAGGAAGUUCGCAGCGCCCGACAGGAGCAGGACUUUCGCCCAAGUGAGCAGACCACCUCCAAUACAGCAUCGAUUUUGAUCGUGGGGCACUACUCUCUGCACCACCACAGAGAAGGGCCACUGCAGCCCCGCCGCCACACAUGACCAGAUCCAGGCCACCGCAAGCCAGAUCCGGCAAGAUCCAACAUGCCCCCGCCGCUCCCCACCAGAACCGAGCCAAUCCGAGGCCGGCAGGCACGCCGCCCACGCGCAGCGCUGCCAGAAGGCAGCACCACACAGCCAAAGCGGACGGCAGCACCGCGGGGGAAGGGCGAGCACCACCACCCUGUGCCUAACAAAGCAACCUCCGCCGGACCCCGCCGACCGAGUCCAGCGGCCAUCUCCGACACCACCGACGCCCGCCGGGCGCCAACACGGCAGGGAGGCGCCAGAUCAAGGGAAGGCCGAUUUCAAGGUUCGGCAACAUAAGCACGGGCCAUUGAGGCAAGCAACAUUUUCACAGCUACAGGUCUUGACGGAUGAUCAGCUGAGCCAGCCCUAAGCAAAAGCUACAAGUUGUAGGAAGAAGCUGCACUCAGCACUCUUGCCUACCACAUUUCCAGUACAGCAGAAGCUGCAGAUUUACAGGGCCUUGAAGAAAAGGUUACGAAAAUGCAGGAUCUGCGGAUUCAGAAAAGGCAUAAUGUCCAUGAUAACCAAACUUAACCAUGUCAUCACAACAGUCGUCUCUGAUUGGCUAAUAUCAGGGGCGAAUAACAACAGUAAAAAAAAUACUUGUAGCAUAUGUUGCUCCAAAAUUUCAUGCUUAUGUCUGAUAGAGAGGCUGCCUCGAUACUGAUGCCUAAGUCCGUACACAGGUUUGAUAGCCUUAAAAGAUGGUACUGGACUAUUUACCACUGAACCUAUCGACCGAAAGUCCUUAAACUGACCGGUUACAGAUACUAGCCUUCUCCAGUGGUCACUCAGGGUUUUCGGCCACCUUUUGCUUCUUCGAGUGCUCCUUGUUUUUCUUGGCGUCACGGCGCUCCCGCUUCAGACCCUUUAUGUUGCUUGUUACGGUCAAUUUUGAGACCUUUCAGACAAAAAAAACAUGAAUCAGAUUAGUAUGAAGAUUGGUUAAAUUCGAACUUCAACUGCUGAUGAAAGAAAUUAGACACAAACCUCCUGGUCUGGAAUGUAGAUCCUGCCCUGCUUGCCUUCAACUGGAUUAUUGGUGACAUUUUUCACCUGCAAACAUGUUAAUGUAGUUGUGAAUACAUACUGACAUACAAGUUCUCAGUGAGAAAUUAGGACAGAAAAUAUGGUUGUUUAGGGCUAAUGGCACCAGUUAGCAACCUAACCAUCAAGAUAACAAAGUCUGAUGAGGAAAAGACAGCUGUUCCAUUGGAAUUACCUUCUUAGCAUGACCAGGAGCCUUCAUAGCUUCUUUCUGUAAACUUUCAGCUGCUUGUCGGUGCCGCCUAAGUACCAGGUCCACUGAAGGCCCAACUUCAACCAGCUCCAUUCUAGGAAUAGAUGUGCCUGACCUUUUUAGACGGAGAGCGCAGUGCAUCAUGUAGACGGUAGUAGGAGAAAUUGCUGUGCACACGAAUAUCCGAUCUACACCAGCAAGGUUCAGAUUCUCUACCACCUGUAUCAAAAAUAAACUAAUUAAGCUCAAGAAUUACCCAUAUAUAUCCUACACGCCAACUUAUCUAUAAAGAUGCACACCUCUCCUUUGAAAUGAUCAAGCAGCAUUUCCUUCAAAUGCUUCAGUCCUUCAACACUCUCAAAGUGCUCCCCAAUGAAAGCAAAGAAAGGCUUUGUCCCAAGUUUAGGUGCCAACUUUUUAUCAUAUGCAUAGGAUUCUAUGGAUUUGUAGUUCUCAACUCCCACUUCAACGAGGUCAUAUAUGUGGUGAUCGUAAGUCCUUCCCAGAACAAGAUUGUUGGGCCUCUUCUUUGAAUGAGAACCAUACUGCAAACACAUAAGUAGUUACAGUUAAAAAUAAUGGAGAAUAAAGUUUAGUAUGCAAAGGAAAAUGAAAAAAAAUCAUUAUAUCAGACAUGGAAAGAGUUUCAGAUAGGUUUCAUACUGGUGCUUAGAAAGUCACCAUCUAGCUCAUUAUAAAGCAAUUUUACUUCUGGGAAAAUCAUCUAUUGAAAUUUAUUUUCUCAAAUGAAUAACAAUUGCCCAUUCCCAAGAACUACUCCCUCCGUCCCAAAAUUCUUGUCUUAGAUUUGUCUAAAUACGGAUGUAUCAAGUCACCUUUUAGUAUUAGAUACAUCCGUAUCUAGACUAAUGUAAGACAAGAAUUUUGGGACGGAGGGAGUACAUAACAAAUCAAGGCAGCAUAAUACGACUUACCACUAAGAGGCUGCAGUCAGAUUUAAGGGAGAAGAACUCCAGGGAAGUUUCACCCCCGCUCUCAAAUGGCCUGAUGCUGUCGUUCUUCUUGGUGUACUUGACAGCAUGAUCACGCUUCAGGUG